AGUGCCAUCAUCAUUUCUAAGCUCCACUGCCUCUUAAAGACAUUGUUCUGUAGCUUUGGCUCGAAGUUUCAAGUGAAUAUUUCUUUUCAGUUGCUUCAUCUCUCUGUUUCUGCUCUUACGAAGCAAGUAGUAAAGUUGUGAAAUGUCAUGCCUGUUCAAAUUGAUAUGGAAUAUCAUGUAUAUGGCUUUCUUGACUAGAUGCAUUUUUUGCAGGGUAAGAACAAUUGAUGCAGUUAUUAUUACUCAUUCUCAUGCUGAUGCAAUUGGAGGUCUGGAUGAUCUUCGUGAUUGGACAAACAAUGUCCAGCCAUCUAUUCCCAUUUAUGUUGCAAUGCGUGACUUUGAGGUCCGAAUUUUACUUCAACCUGCUGAAGCACAUCUUACUUUCUCUGUGAUGAAGAAAACUCAUUAUUAUUUAGUUGAUACCAGUGUUAUCGUUCCUGGUGCCGCUGUCUCAGAAUUGCAAUUUAACAUUAUCCACGAGGAACCUUUCAUUGUACAUGACCUUAAGUUUACACCUCUACCUGUCUGGCAUGGAAAGAAUUACCGUUCUCUGGGUUUUCGUUUUGGCAAUAUUUGUUAUAUCAGUGAUGUCAGUGAAAUCCCUGAAGAAACUUACCCACUUCUGGAGGACUGUGAACUCCUUAUCCUGGACGCCCUUAGGCCCGACCGAUCUUCUUCGACACAUUUUGGACUUCCAAGGGCACUGGAUGAAGUCAGGAAAAUUCAACCCAGAAGAACGCUUUUCACUGGUAUGAUGCAUCUAAUGGAUCACGAGAAAGUGAAUGAAGAUCUCAGAAAAUUGAGGGAGACUGAAGGCCUUGACAUGCAACUCAGUUAUGACGGGCUUCGGGUGCCAGUAAACCUAUAAAAUUUUGAUCAUGGUUGGAGCUAGGAGAUGAGGAAAAUGUCAACUUUCAAAAUUGUAAAGAACAAAAUUUUGAUUCUGAAUAGAGUCUUCAACGCAACCAAAAAUACAAAAAACAAGGAAAAUUGAAUGAGAAGGAGCCCUGCCCUCCAAAGUUUUCGUCAAUAAUUCUCCUGAGUUGCUCCCAUGCCGUGACCGCUGACCCGUGAUCCGAUCCCAUGUUGAUGACUGGUACCGUCAUCGAUUGCCAGAGUUUCAGUUCUACUUUCAGUCUUAUUUCGAGCAGUUUUGACUCUUUCAGUAAGUGGGGUGGGCCUGUUCGGUCCAACAAUUUGAGGUGGGGACCCAUCAACCAUGGGCCACGGACUGGUUUCCAUUGGGAAAUUUCAAAGUUAACGUACUACUGGCGUCCAAAAAGGAAUUUUCGUCCCCCCUUCUCCUGAGAUCUGAGAAAUACAAUC